UGCCACUCGUGGUGGUGGUAGUGAGGGGGUUACAGAACGUUCCGGCAGUCGGGCUGUACCACUCCCACUCGUGGUGGUAGUGAGGGGGUUACAGAAUGUUCCGGCAGUUGGGCUGUACCACUCCCACUCGUGGUGGUAGUGAGGGGGUUACAGAAGGUUCCGGCAGUCGGGCUGUACCACUCCCACUCGUGGUGGUAGUGAGGGGGUUACAGAAGGUUCCGGCAGUCAGGCUGUAUCACUCCCACUCAUGGUGGUAGUGAGGGGGAUACAGAAGGUUCCGGCAGUCGGGCUGUACCACUCAUGCAGCACGGGGUCAGUUACUGCUGUCCCAAGCUGUAUGUUCGUUGCCCCUGGCUAUCGCCUGGGACGUUUCCUCUCCCCGUCGCUCUAGUUCAAUACUCGACUUGUUAAACUGCCUCUACACAAACAUGCCCGCAGAUGCCCCCCAGCGCCACCUCCCGCCUGUGGGCAAUGGGGCACUCCCCAGGGCACUGAAACGGCUGGUCUGGGGUUGACACAAGAGUCUCUCCGGAGGGGCACGAGCCAGGCCUGACCCUCGGAACUGGCCUGAACCCUGCAGCCUGACUGAGGACGACGGAUCAUUUCUAGCCAGACCAGUGACGCUCCCUCGGCGAGAUCCCAGACGAUGUACUGGCUCCCGGCAGUGCAGGAGAUGGGCCUGUGUCAGGGAUGCGCCUGCCUGAGAGAACCCAGUGUUCCCGGCCGGACGUUCCAAAGCCUCUGGGACAGGGACGUGGCUCUUUGGGCCUCAUAUCACAGAACAACCCCGUGUUAAUGGUUAUCAGACUACUAAAGAGCUGGAGUUGGACUCCCGCCCGAAUGGAUGCGCUGCUUGUUUCUUCCCGGCUUACUCAUGACUUCAGAUCUGGCAGAAAAGCUUUGCUAAGGAGACAGGCCUUGCACUGUGUCUUUGGCGCUGGCUGGUCUCCUCCACAAGCCUGUUCACCAAACAUCUCCCCAUGAAUAUGACUCCUGCAUGAUUUGUCCUGGGCCCUGUCUCCGAGGAACACUGGGUUGUGGAAGGCAAGCCCAUCCCUAAUAUAUCUGGGUACUGAAACGUUAAUGGCUCUGGAAUUCAGCACCAAGGCCUUGCACAUGCAUCAGAUCAGAACUUGGAGCCAGUGCAGAGCGCAGGAGGGACGUGCUUUUGGCUGCUCAUCCCACUGAGGAACUGAAGACUUGAGACUUGUUGGCUUCGCCCUUCAGUCACCCGUAAGCCUCAUGGAGGAAACACCUCCCCUCUUCUGUUCUGAAAUGUCACCAUUCCAGGGGCAGAGAGCCUGGAGCCCAGCGGGGCAUAUGACAUCAGAGAUCCUUGGACAGCAAGGGUGGACCAGCAAUUAGGGCACUAGCCAGAAACUUGGCUUUCAUUCCCAGCUCUGCCACAGACCCCCUGUAUGAUCUCAAUCUAGUCCCUUAAGCUCUCUGUGCCUCAGUACAACGGCGAAGAUAGCCCGCCCGCCCUGCCUCCCAGGGUGCUUGUGAGGAAAGAGGCACUAAAUAUUGCAAGGGGUUCAGAUGCUAAAGUGAUGGGCACCAUGUAAGUCCCAUAGAGAGCUCCACAGACCCAGCUGUUGAAACGGGGCAUUGAUCAGACAGUGCAACAGCCCAGGCGAGCAUCAGACUGUCAAACCCACAGGGUUUAUGGGGACUCUGCCAACUAGGUGAAGGACAAAGGGCUAGAAUGGGAGAAGGAGCUGCCUGGUUCUGAGUCUUCUUCCCCGUCAGUCCAAGGGGAGCUGCAGCAGGAGUGGGGCUGUGGCUCCCUAUGCAGCGUGGAGUCUGACAGUUCAGUGCCACGGGGAAACCCUACUGGCCAUUGCUUUCAGGGAGCUCUGGCCUUGCAUCUCAGGAGCCUCCAGCUGCAGCGUCUCUGCUGUUGAGUUAACAUUUGGCACCAGGCUCUUGGGGUGAAAGGUGCUCCGGGUGUGGAGGGGUGAAUUAUUAACAUGGCCCAGAUUUUUAAAAGUAUCUAUGCGCAGCUGCACUCAGUUUUGCACCACUUAAACAAUUUAGAAGCCUGCGGCUCGGCCUACCCCAAGAAAUUACGUCUCUACAACCAUCUCCUGCUUUUCUGCCGCCCUAAGCACGAUGCUCAGCAAUGUGAAAAAUCCACACCACUGAGCAAUGGAGUUAAACUGACCUAACUCCUGGUGUAGACAGUGGUAUGUCAAUGGGGGGGCUUCUCGUGUCCACAUAGCUCUUGUCUCUUGUGGAGGUGGAGUACCUAUGCUGGUGGAAGAAGGAUUCCCAUCAGCAUAGGUAGCAUUCUAAAUGUAGACCUGCCUUAAGUCUCAUUUUCAAAAGGGAUUUAGAUACUAGGAACCAAAAUCCCACUGGACGCUCUAGCCUGGCCAUUGGCUGCUGGUUAUGGGAGGUUGGGAAUGUACCUUAGGCAGAAACACCUCACUGAGGGUAUGUCUACACUAAAGUGAAGGUCUGAUUGUAGCACAGGUAGGUGUACCUGUGCUAGCUUCAGUCUAGGUAGCGCUGGUAACAACAGUAAUGUAUACAUGGCAGCAUAGGCAUCAGCACAGGCUAGCAACCAGAGUACAAGCCUUUUGGGGAGUAAGGGCACAUGCUCUAUUUGCUAGCCUAUGCCACCACAUCUACACUGCUACGGUCGCCUAUGCAAGCGAGAUUACAUGCCAGCCUGCGCUACAGUCACAUCUUCACUUGCAGUGUAGACAUACCCUGAGUCAGAGCUGGAUUCAUCUCUCUGCAGUUCCUGGAGCAGAAGCAUGUGUCCCAGAGGAGGCAGUGGCUCACCUCUCUUCAUCGUGUGGCCCCUUGCCAAUAUGAGAAUAAGGCUGGUACAAAGCGAUUUAAACUCCUCCCUGGGGACUAGCUCAUCAUUCCCACCACAUACCAUCUGGAGGAAGAAGCUGAGUUCAUCCUCCGGGCGUUCAGAGAGAAGACUCCUGCCUUUCAUGAAAUUGACAAUGAAAUCAGCACAGAUCUGGAAGCCCUUCAGGCAUUUGGUGUCAUUCAAGGUAUUCGCAUAAUCCAGCCUUCUUAGUGCCUGAUGGAGAGGAGGGCUGAAAUGUUCCAACACCUUACUGUAUAGAGAAAAUAACUCUUCCGCUGAGAUGGUAUGACCGAUGACUCCUAAUACAGGAGAACUUCAGACUUACGAACUGACUGAUCAACCGCACGCCUCAUUUGGAACUGGAAUUACGCAAUCAGGCGGCAGCAGCAAAAAUGAAAAAGACAAAUACAGUACCGUACUGUGCUAAACAUAAGCUAGAU